CCUUCGGGGGGCAGCAGUGGGGAAUAUUGGGCAAUGGACGCAAGUCUGACCCAGCAACGCCGCGUGAAGGAAGAAGGCUUUCGGGUUGUAAACUUCUUUUAAGGGGGAAGAGCAGAAGACGGUACCCCUUGAAUAAGCCACGGCUAACUACGUGCCAGCAGCCGCGGUAAUACGUAGGGGGCAAGCGUUAUCCGGAUUUACUGGGUGUAAAGGGCGUGUAGGCGGGAAAGCAAGUCAGAUGUGAACACCAUGGGCUCAACCUGUGACCUGCAUUUGAAACUGUUUUUCUAGAGUACUGGAGAGGCAGGCGGAAUUCCUAGUGUAGCGGUGAAAUGCGUAGAUAUUAGGAGGAACACCAGUGGCGAAGGCGGUCUGCUGGACAGCAACUGACGCUGAGGCGCGAAAGCGUGGGGAGCAAACAGGAUUAGAUACCCGUGUAGUC
rnacentral:rRNA from 1 species